GAUAAACGCUGGCGGCGCACAUAAGACAUGCAAGUCGAACGAACUUAACCAUUAGUUUACUAUUGGAGCGGUUAGUGGCGGACUGGUGAGUAACACGUAAGCAACCUGCCUAUCAGAGGGGAACAACAGUUAGAAAUGACUGCUAAUACCGCAUAUGCCUUAGAACCACACGGUUCAAAAGGGAAAGGAGCAAUCCGCUUUGAGAUGGCCUCGCGUCCGAUUAGCUGGUUGGUGAGGUAACGGCCCACCAAGGCAACGAUCGGUAGCCGGACUGAGAGGUUGAACGGCCACAUUGGGACUGAGACACGGCCCAG
rnacentral:rRNA from 1 species